UUGUUUUCAUGAUGAAUUUAGAAUUUUCAGUUAUCCCUGUCUUAGGAAUUAAUGCUGAAUAAAUUCUUUCUGAAAGUAA